CAGGCCUAACACAUGCAAGUCGAACGGUAACAUUUCUAGCUUGCUAGAGGAUGACGAGUGGCGACGGGUGAGUAAUACUUAGGAAUAUGCCUUUGCGAGGGGGAUAACUAUUGGAAACGAUAGCUAAUACCGCAUGAUGUAGUAAUACCAAAGGGGGCUUUUAGCUCUCGCGCAAAGAGUAGCCUAAGCGAGAUUAGCUAGUUGGUGUGGUAAAAGGCGCACCAAGGCGACGAUCUCUAGCUGUUCUGAGAGGAAGAUCAGCCACACUGGGACUGAGACACGGCCCAGACUCCUACGGGAGGCAGCAGUGGGGAAUAUUGCACAAUGGGGGCAACCCUGAUGCAGCCAUGCCGCGUGUGUGAAGAAGGCCUUCGGGUUGUAAAGCACUUUCAGAUGUGAGGAAGGGUUUGUAGUUAAUAGCUGCGAGCUGUGACGUUAACAUCAGAAGAAGCACCGGCUAACUCCGUG
rnacentral:rRNA from 1 species